GUGCUUCCUACACCUAUUAGGUUAGGUGGAAUGAUUACAUGGAUUCUGCACAACUAGGUCAAGAAUGUAGAGUUUGCAAAUGAGUAUAUCAAAGAGACUCCCUCCUGUACUUAUGAAGGUAUUGAGUUGAGGUUUCACUGUUCCUCAAGUCUUUCUUCCCCCUGCCCAUGCUCCUGUUUCUUAUAUAUGACAUUAAGGAAGAAUCAUGGCAACACAUCUAAAACCUUCAAGUCUGGCCAUGGGAACACAGGAAGUAGAUAGUGUAGUACAGAUAUCAAAUGUGAAUAGAGAAACGAAUUGUAUACUCCAUGUGGUCCUUUGCUUUAUUGAUGUUGGUAAUUUUUGAAUAACAUAAGGAUUUGGGAAUUUAUAAUUGAAGUAGGUACACCAUAUUUACACUGUUAUUCUCAGUCUAUAGAUGGGCCCACUUUGUUUCCAAAAUCAUAGCAGAGAAUGGAAUUUGAAAACAGAAUUUUUGAGUACAUAUUCAGGAAUAUUUAUAAUGUCCCCUAUGAAGGAAUGUACAAUAGGAAAGUGAAAUACAAUAUUCAUUCAACGAAAGUUGUGUAGGUAAAGUACUGGCCUUUAUAAAAUUAAGAAAACCUAGAAAAUUGAACUGUAUGUAACAGGAAUUGACCUGGGAAUAAAAAUAUUAUCCAGAAGAAUCUCCUCCACUCCAAGUUCCUAAAAAAUUUCUAUCCAUGCCAUGCCCCUGACUCAUUUUCUCCAUUCAGAAGUCACUAGCUUUAGAGAGAUGGAGAACGAAAGUUUCCACUGUGUCACAGGAGACAUACCUAAAUUGGCACCCUCAAAACUGGUUAAUGUAAGGAAAGCUGUUUAGAGUCAGGCCAUGGCAGUUCUCAGUGACAAUAUCAUUAGGCUUUCCCUGAAAAAUCUCUUGUAUCCUUGAGAGCACUAGCUUCUUCUGUGAUGUAAUAAGUGUUGUCCUGACUGCAAAUGCCUCUCAGAUAUUACUUCAGUACCUAUAGGUUUUACUAAUUGGCCUCAAAUUCAGGGGAAACAGUCAUUAGGGAGGGAGAACAAAGACGAUGAAGAAAUCAGAGAUGGGGAGAACGAAGCUGGUCUUCUGUCUUGGUAUAAAAGAAGGAAGAAAUACAUCAUCCCUGAGAAAUCUCACUGAAGCCUUGGUAGGAGUGGAAUAUGAAAAAUAGUCCUGAGGAAGGAGGGACAACAAGUAUUGUAUCGUCAUGUCAUCUCAAGAAAAACUCUCAAAACUCAUCCUGGCUGACAAUGUAGAUUAGACGCAUCAGAUGAAAUGAAUUGAAAAACUCUCCUGGGAAUGAAAGUGGUAAGGAAAUCACAUUGAUGUAUCCUAAAUGCAGUGCUAAGAGCAAUAUUCAGACUAGUCUGUGGAGAUGCUGCUGUCAUCAGAGACCACAGACAAUUAGUGGAGAAUGAUUCAGCAUUAAACUGGGAAUGGAAGAUGAUGGUUGAUAUUGUUCUAGUAGAUCUCACUACAUUAAAAAGUGUUUCUUCCAGAUAACUGAAUGAUUAUUGUAAAGCAAAUCCCGGAAUGAACUUAUGAGACCCACCAUCAGCCUGUCAAAUAAUGUGCGAAAGAAGAAAUCUGUGUCUCUCCAGGGACAAAUUGUUGCUUUCAAACCAACAGUAAAGUGUCCAUUCUAUGAA